rnacentral:rRNA from 1 species
UACGGAGGGUGCAAGCGUUAUCCGGAUUCACUGGGUUUAAAGGGCGCGUAGGCGGCUUGUCAAGUCACUUGUGAAAUCUCUGGGCUUAACCCAGAACGGCCAAGUGAAACUGACAUGCUAGAGUGCAGAAGGGGCAAUCGGAAUUCUUGGUGUAGCGGUGAAAUGCGUAGAUAUCAAGAGGAACACCUGAGGUGAAGACGGGUUGCUGGGCUGACACUGACGCUGAGGCGCGAAAGCCAGGGGAGCAAACGGG